rnacentral:lncRNA from 1 species
GUUUUGUGGGGUGUCUAUGGGAUCUAUGGGGCAACCAUGGGUUCUAUGGGGCAACCAUGGGAUCUAUGAGGUGGCCAUGGGGUUCGUGGGGUGUCUAUGGGGUCAGUGGGUGGCCAUGGGAUCUAUGGGGCAACCAUGGGGUCUAUGGGGCAACCAUGGGAUCUAUGGGGCAACCAUGGGUUCUAUGGGGCAACCAUGGGAUCUAUGGGGCAUCCAUGGGGUCUAUGGGGCAACCAUGGGAUCUAUGGGGUGGCCAUAGGGCUUGUGGGGUGUCUAUGGGGUCGGUGGGGGAUGUGUGGGGCUGACAGAGUCUCCGAAAGGAUCUGUGGGGUGAACGUGGGGCUUUAUUGGGGUCGCUGGGGAUCUGUGGGUCGCGGCGUCUUCUCAGGUGGCGUCAGCCCGGGGGGCUCCGUGUGGGGCACCAAUAAAUUAUGGGGGGCCGGGGGGGCGCGGCGGGGUCCUGGGGGGCAGAAAAGCACGUAGGGCCACUUAUGGGGCAGUUAUGGGGCAGAUGGGGGCACUUAUGGGGCACUUAUGGGGCAGGCAGGGACGCUUAUGGGGCAGGCAGGGACACUUAUGGGGCACUUAUGGGGCAGGCAGGGACAUUUAUGGGGCACUUAUGGGGCAGGCAGGGACACUUAUGGGGCGCUUAUGGGGCAGAUAGGGGCACUUAUGGGGCACUUAUGGGGCAGAUGGGGGCACUUGUGGGGCAGCUGUGGGGCAGGGCGGGGCUCCGUACACGUUCUCGUAGUCGGGGCCGUCGGCGUCGCUGUCGCGGUCGCUGCCUGUGGGGACAUUUGGGGACAUUUGGGGACAUUUGGGGACAUUUGGGGACAUUUGGGGACACGUGGGGACUUAUAGGGUCAUAUAGGGACUUAUGGGGACAUAUAGGGACAUAUGGGGACACAUGGGGACAUUUGGGGACACAUGGGGACAUUUGGGGACAUUUGGGGACACAUGGGGACUUAUAGGGACAGUAUGGGGACAUAUAGGGACAGUAUGGGGACACAUGGG